GACGAACGCUGGCGGCGUGCUUAACACAUGCAAGUCGAACGGAAAGGCCCUGCUUUUGUGGGGUGCUCGAGUGGCGAACGGGUGAGGAACACGUGAGUAACCUGCCCUUGACUUUGGGAUAACUUCAGGAAACUGGGGCUAAUACCGGAUAGGAGCUCCUGCUGCAUGGUGGGGGUUGGAAAGUUUCGGCGGUUGGGGAUGGACUCGCGGCUUAUCAGCUUGUUGGUGGGGUAGUGGCUUACCAAGGCUUUGACGGGUAGCCGGCCUGAGAGGGUGACCGGCCACAUUGGGACUGAGAUACGGCCCAGACUCUUACGGGAGGCAGCAGUGGGGAAUAUUGCACAAUGGGCGGAAGCCUGAUGCAGCAACGCCGCGUGCGGGAUGACGGCCUUCGGGUUGUAAACCGCUUUCGCCUGUGACGAAGCGUGAGUGACGGUAAUGGGUAAAGAAGCACCGGCUAACUACGUG
rnacentral:rRNA from 1 species